GGGGAUUUAGCUCAGUGGUAGAGCGCUUGCCUAGCAAGCACAAGGCCCUGGGUUCAGUCCCAGCUCCG
rfam:Rattus norvegicus chromosome 5, whole genome shotgun sequence.